rnacentral:rRNA from 1 species
GACAGAGGGUGCAAACGUUGUUCGGAAUUACUGGGCGUAAAGCGCGUGUAGGCUGCUCGGAAAGUCGGAUGUGAAAGCCCUGGGCUCAACCUAGGAAGUGCAUUCGAAACUUCCGAGCUGGAGUUCUGGAGAGGAAGGCGGAAUUCUCGGUGUAGAGGUGAAAUUCGUAGAUAUCGAGAGGAACACCGGUGGCGAAGGCGGCCUUCUGGACAGUGACUGACGCUGAGACGCGAAAGCGUGGGGAGCAAACAGGG